CUUUCUUAUUCAUCUUUCCUUCGUCGCUCCUUUUCUCUCCCCCGCUCUCCAUUUUCGCUAUCCGUCGUUCGCCUGCUUCGCCCCACCGCGCUUCGCUUUCUCGGACCCGUUGCGGCUAACUUCUUCGCCGUCGGUGUGCGUGGCCGUUGUGAUGGCGUUUGUGCGUUCGGUCGGUGCUGCUGGUUAAGAUCAGUGCUUGCCUGCCUUGCCCAGUUUCUUCUCCUACUGUCUCCUGCGCCCGCCGUCGCGCCGUUCUGCCGAUUGCAUUGAGGCUGUUCGUCUGCUGCUCCACCUUCGUUGGCUCGCCGCUGUCCUGGUUGUGCUACUUGGUUCUGGUUGGAAGAGCUGCUCUGCUUCUGCAUCUGCACCUGUAGCCUGCUGCUGCUACUCAAGGUUUGCUCUCCUUUUCCACUACAUGUGCCUUGUUUAUGGCUCAACAUGUAUUUAUCUCUUGGUGCCCUGGGCUUAUGGCGUCGUCUUCUUCAACCGAUGAGGCUGCAUCCUGUGCUGCCGUUUCAGUUCAAGGUAUUUCGUCCUCAUCCGUCUCUUCGAGAAGAAAUAUUACAAGAGCUUCUAUUUCUUAUGGUGAAACAAAAUGCCUAGAGAUCCGGACACACUACCAUUUCCAGAUCAUCUUCUCUACUGAUAGUAGAACUGCACGAAGGCACUUUGAUGAUGCAUUGGCUAAAGCUUUUCAGCUAGAAUGCGACGAAAUUGUUACUUUUGAUGCUCCUGACCAGGAAUGUGGUAUAUUACACUGAGUAUGAGAAUUCACAGCACCGUUGUGAGGUUGGUAAUUAUAUAGUAGAAAACAACCGAUGUUUUAGUUAUCUGUUGUAGACAGUUUUUGUAUGCCUAUUUCCUCUCAGUAAGAUAUGCAAUUUAAGCUUCGCAAGCUUAUUAUGAAAAGUAUUUGUUAAUGUCAUGAAGUCUUUGAACAGAAAAAAAGAAAUGCAUGUAGUGACAGCACUCAACAAGACAAAAUUUGAACCAUGCAAACCAAUGCUAGCGUCGUCAUCUAAAAAGAAUAUACCCAGUGCUUGCAUAAUUUGAGCACGUCAUAAAGAAGCCUUGCUAUCCGAUAUUCUCUCAUGUCAUGAAAUAGUGCAUAAAUUAUGUUUCAAUAUAAGCAUAGAUCAAUAAAUCCAAAUUUGAGGGAAGGGCAGUAAUAUAUUUCUUUAGUGAUUUCUGUACUUAAGCUUUGUAAAACACUGUCCUCUUUACUUUCAGGAAAAUCGCUUCUUGCAUUGUUUCAGUGUUAGAUGUAUGUUCAUAUGCAAGUCUUGCACACCAAAGUCUUUUUAUUUGAUACAGGCACAGUACUUCUGUUUAUACAUUGCAUUCAGGUUCAAUUCAUACUUGUGAUAAUUAGAAGCUACCAGGUAGUAAAUGUUGUGGUCCACACCAUCGAUGCAUAGCUUAUGGUUAUACAAGUGAUCAUAUACAAACUCACCUUCAUCAGCAUCCUGCGCAUAAAGUUUCUAGGAUAAAUUAGUUAUUUUGGUUUCUUGUUCUCUCAUCCUUGAAUUUGAUCAUCGAGCUGUUGCCAUAACAAAAAAUAAUAUGGUAUUAGUUUUACUUACAUUACUCAAAGUACAUUUUCCCCUCUAAAAGCUUUUACCUGCCGAAAUAUGAUUUAGUGCCUUAUGCUUAUCAGCCAGUCGUGUUAUGUUCUCUAAUCCUUGGAUAUGUCACACCUUUUUAUUAUAGUUUGCUUAUUAACAUAGCAACAUCCGUCAAACAAAUGAUUCCAUUUAAUUCAUGCCCUUGCAUCAAAUGACAUCCGUUUAAAAUCACAGGCCACACCACCAAUGAUCAAAAUCCCUUACAGGAUGAUGCUGGAUGUUCUUUUAGAGACUUUAGAGCUUCCAGCGGCUAAGUAUCGAAGCAAAGUAUGUGAUGGCGGUAGAGUAUGCGUCACUGUUUUUUUCCAUACGCCCACAUCAUAUGUUGAAGAUCAUGGCAGUCGUAUGGCUAUUUCUGGGGUGCAGUGUAUCAAUCAUGCUAUGUCAGAGGACACGGCUGCCAUGGAAGAGACUGGAUACAUCAAAUGCAUGGUUAAGACUCAAAGUAAGAGACUACAAUUACAGCAACAUGAAGAGACUGGAUGAGGAAAAUCAGUCUCUAAAACAUGAGCUGGGUGUAGCUAAGUAUAACAAGCAGAAAACAAAGCCAAAGACCAGGUCCAUCAAGAACAAACUAAUGAUGGCUAGGUAUAAGAACAAGAAAAAUGCUAUGGGCUGGUUCGUUCUUACAAGAUACAUGCAUGGAUUAUCUGAUCAUAUAUGCAAUGUAAUAGCGCUCAACAGAUCGUCUGGGAAAGAACCCAUGGAUCCUCUUAUGAACGAACCUCUUAACAACAUUGAGAAGCUAGCAGAAAGGCUCAAACGCGGGGUGCUCAAAUCAGAGAAGCAACUAAAAAGCAUCAAGAGAGGAUUUUAGAGUUGUAUUCUACAAGAAUGCAUCCUAAACCAGACCUUUUAGAAUUAUAGUCUAUUUCGCUCCUUUUGUUUAACCGCAUAGGUUAACCGUAAUGUAUAAUUAUAUUUCUCUUUAGACCAAGCGCAGAGUAAGACUUGCCAAGAUUGUGUGUGUAAGAGCUAAUGAUAAUCCUGUCAAGACUCUCUGUUCCUUGCACCA